GGUUAAGCGACUAAGCGUACACGGUGGAUGCCCUGGCAGUCAGAGGCGAUGAAGGACGUGCUAAUCUGCGAUAAGCGUCGGUAAGGUGAUAUGAACCGUUAUAACCGGCGAUUUCCGAAUGGGGAAACCCAGUGUGUUUCGACACACUAUCAUUAACUGAAUCCAUAGGUUAAUGAGGCGAACCGGGGGAACUGAAACAUCUAAGUACCCCGAGGAAAAGAAAUCAACCGAGAUUCCCCCAGUAGCGGCGAGCGAACGGGGAGCAGCCCAGAGCCUGAAUCAGUGUGUGUGUUAGUGGAAGCGUCUGGAAAGGCGCGCGAUACAGGGUGACAGCCCCGUACACAAAAAUGCACAUGCUGUGAGCUCGAUGAGUAGGGCGGGACACGUGGUAUCCUGUCUGAAUAUGGGGGGACCAUCCUCCAAGGCUAAAUACUCCUGACUGACCGAUAGUGAACCAGUACCGUGAGGGAAAGGCGAAAAGAACCCCGGCGAGGGGAGUGAAAAAGAACCUGAAACCGUGUACGUACAAGCAGUGGGAGCACGCUUAGGCGUGUGACUGCGUACCUUUUGUAUAAUGGGUCAGCGACUUAUAUUCUGUAGCAAGGUUAACCGAAUAGGGGAGCCGAAGGGAAACCGAGUCUUAACUGGGCGUUAAGUUGCAGGGUAUAGACCCGAAACCCGGUGAUCUAGCCAUGGGCAGGUUGAAGGUUGGGUAACACUAACUGGAGGACCGAACCGACUAAUGUUGAAAAAUUAGCGGAUGACUUGUGGCUGGGGGUGAAAGGCCAAUCAAACCGGGAGAUAGCUGGUUCUCCCCGAAAGCUAUUUAGGUAGCGCCUCGUGAAUUCAUCUCCGGGGGUAGAGCACUGUUUCGGCAAGGGGGUCAUCCCGACUUACCAACCCGAUGCAAACUGCGAAUACCGGAGAAUGUUAUCACGGGAGACACACGGCGGGUGCUAACGUCCGUCGUGAAGAGGGAAACAACCCAGACCGCCAGCUAAGGUCCCAAAGUCAUGGUUAAGUGGGAAACGAUGUGGGAAGGCCCAGACAGCCAGGAUGUUGGCUUAGAAGCAGCCAUCAUUUAAAGAAAGCGUAAUAGCUCACUGGUCGAGUCGGCCUGCGCGGAAGAUGUAACGGGGCUAAACCAUGCACCGAAGCUGCGGCAGCGACGCUGAUGCGUUGUUGGGUAGGGGAGCGUUCUGUAAGCCUGUGAAGGUGUGCUGUGAGGCAUGCUGGAGGUAUCAGAAGUGCGAAUGCUGACAUAAGUAACGAUAAAGCGGGUGAAAAGCCCGCUCGCCGGAAGACCAAGGGUUCCUGUCCAACGUUAAUCGGGGCAGGGUGAGUCGACCCCUAAGGCGAGGCCGAAAGGCGUAGUCGAUGGGAAACAGGUUAAUAUUCCUGUACUUGGUGUUACUGCGAAGGGGGGACGGAGAAGGCUAUGUUGGCCGGGCGACGGUUGUCCCGGUUUAAGCGUGUAGGCUGGUUUUCCAGGCAAAUCCGGAAAAUCAAGGCUGAGGCGUGAUGACGAGGCACUACGGUGCUGAAGCAACAAAUGCCCUGCUUCCAGGAAAAGCCUCUAAGCAUCAGGUAACAUCAAAUCGUACCCCAAACCGACACAGGUGGUCAGGUAGAGAAUACCAAGGCGCUUGAGAGAACUCGGGUGAAGGAACUAGGCAAAAUGGUGCCGUAACUUCGGGAGAAGGCACGCUGAUAUGUAGGUGAAGUCCCUCGCGGAUGGAGCUGAAAUCAGUCGAAGAUACCAGCUGGCUGCAACUGUUUAUUAAAAACACAGCACUGUGCAAACACGAAAGUGGACGUAUACGGUGUGACGCCUGCCCGGUGCCGGAAGGUUAAUUGAUGGGGUUAGCGCAAGCGAAGCUCUUGAUCGAAGCCCCGGUAAACGGCGGCCGUAACUAUAACGGUCCUAAGGUAGCGAAAUUCCUUGUCGGGUAAGUUCCGACCUGCACGAAUGGCGUAAUGAUGGCCAGGCUGUCUCCACCCGAGACUCAGUGAAAUUGAACUCGCUGUGAAGAUGCAGUGUACCCGCGGCAAGACGGAAAGACCCCGUGAACCUUUACUAUAGCUUGACACUGAACAUUGAGCCUUGAUGUGUAGGAUAGGUGGGAGGCUUUGAAGUGUGGACGCCAGUCUGCAUGGAGCCGACCUUGAAAUACCACCCUUUAAUGUUUGAUGUUCUAACGUUGACCCGUAAUCCGGGUUGCGGACAGUGUCUGGUGGGUAGUUUGACUGGGGCGGUCUCCUCCUAAAGAGUAACGGAGGAGCACGAAGGUUGGCUAAUCCUGGUCGGACAUCAGGAGGUUAGUGCAAUGGCAUAAGCCAGCUUGACUGCGAGCGUGACGGCGCGAGCAGGUGCGAAAGCAGGUCAUAGUGAUCCGGUGGUUCUGAAUGGAAGGGCCAUCGCUCAACGGAUAAAAGGUACUCCGGGGAUAACAGGCUGAUACCGCCCAAGAGUUCAUAUCGACGGCGGUGUUUGGCACCUCGAUGUCGGCUCAUCACAUCCUGGGGCUGAAGUAGGUCCCAAGGGUAUGGCUGUUCGCCAUUUAAAGUGGUACGCGAGCUGGGUUUAGAACGUCGUGAGACAGUUCGGUCCCUAUCUGCCGUGGGCGCUGGAGAACUGAGGGGGGCUGCUCCUAGUACGAGAGGACCGGAGUGGACGCAUCACUGGUGUUCGGGUUGUCAUGCCAAUGGCACUGCCCGGUAGCUAAAUGCGGAAGAGAUAAGUGCUGAAAGCAUCUAAGCACGAAACUUGCCCCGAGAUGAGUUCUCCCUGACUCCUUGAGAGUCCUGAAGGAACGUUGAAGACGACGACGUUGAUAGGCCGGGUGUGUAAGCGCAGCGAUGCGUUGAGCUAACCGGUACUAAUGAACCGUGAGGCUUAACCUU
rnacentral:rRNA from 1 species